rnacentral:tRNA from 1 species
GUCCUUGUAGUUUAAAACAAAAACACGGCACUGAAGAUGCCAAGACGGAUAUUCCUUUUCCCCAGGACA